rnacentral:rRNA from 1 species
UACGUAGGGGGCAAGCGUUGUCCGGAAUUAUUGGGCGUAAAGCGCGCGCAGGCGGUCAUUUAAGUCUGGUGUUUAAUCCCGGGGCUCAACCCCGGAUCGCACUGGAAACUGGGUGACUCGAGUGCAGAAGAGGAGAGUGGAAUUCCACGUGUAGCGGUGAAAUGCGUAGAUAUGUGGAGGAACACCAGUGGCGAAGGCGACUCUCUGGGCUGUAACUGACGCUGAGGCGCGAAAGCGUGGGGAGC